rnacentral:rRNA from 1 species
CGUAGGGUGCGAGCGUUAAUCGGAAUUACUGGGCGUAAAGCGUGCGCAGGCGGUUUUGUAAGACAGGCGUGAAAUCCCCGGGCUCAACCUGGGAACUGCGCUUGUGACUGCAAGGCUAGAGUACGGCAGAGGGGGUGGAAUUCCACGUGUAGCAGUGAAAUGCGUAGAGAUGUGGAGGAACACCAAUGGCGAAGGCAGCCCCCUGGUCGAUACUGACGCUCAUGCACGAAAGCGUGGGUAGCAAACAGGAUUAGAUACCCUGGUAGUCCACGCCCUAAACGAUGUCAACUAGGUGUUGGGUGGGUAAAACCAUUUAGUACCGGAGCUAACGCGUGAAGUUGACCGCCUGGGGAGUACGGCCGCAAGGUUA